rnacentral:ncRNA from 12 species
GGGUGCACGGUCCUGCCAGGAUCGGCAGGUCUUCGCGCUGGUCGGGCCGCCAGCG